UCCCUGGUGGCUCAGACGGUAAAGAAUCCCCCUGCAAUGGGGGAGACCUGGGUUCGAUCCCUGGCUUGGGAA
rnacentral:tRNA from 1 species